CCUAGUAACGGCGAGUGAAGCGGCAACAGCUCAAAUUUGAAAUCUGGCUUCGGCCCGAGUUGUAAUUUGCAGAGGAAGCUUUAGGCGCGGCACCUUCUGAGUCCCCUGGAACGGGGCGCCAUAGAGGGUGAGAGCCCCGUAUAGUUGGAUGCCUAGCCUGUGUAAAGCUCCUUCGACGAGUCGAGUAGUUUGGGAAUGCUGCUCAAAAUGGGAGGUAAAUUUCUUCUAAAGCUAAAUACCGGCCAGAGACCGAUAGCGCACAAGUAGAGUGAUCGAAAGAUGAAAAGCACUUUGAAAAGAGGGUUAAAUAGCACGUGAAAUUGUUGAAAGGGAAGCGCUUGUGACCAGACUUGCGCCGGGCAGAUCAUCCGGUGUUCUCACCGGUGCACUCUGCCCGGCUCAGGCCAGCAUCGGUUCUCGCGGGGGGAUAAAGGCCCUGGGAACGUAGCUCCUCCGGGAGUGUUAUAGCCCGGGGCGUAAUGCCCUCGCGGGGACCGAGGUUCGCGCAUCUGCAAGGAUGCUGGCGUAAUGGUCAUCAGCGACCCGUCUUGAAACACGGACCAAGGAGUCAAGGUUUUGCGCGAGUGUUUGGGUGUAAAACCCGCACGCGUAAUGAAAGUGAACGUAGGUGAGAGCUUCGGCGCAUCAUCGACCGAUCCUGAUGUUUUCGGAUGGAUUUGAGUAGGAGCGUUAAGCCUUGGACCCGAAAGAUGGUGAACUAUGCUUGGAUAGGGUGAAGCCAGAGGAAACUCUGGUGGAGGCUCGCAGCGGUUCUGACGUGCAAAUCGAUCGUCAAAUCUGAGCAUGGGGGCGAAGACUAAUCGA
rnacentral:rRNA from 1 species